rnacentral:rRNA from 1 species
AGUGGGGAAUAUUGCACAAUGGGGGAAACCCUGAUGCAGCCAUGCCGCGUGUGUGAAGAAGGCCUUCGGGUUGUAAAGCACUUUCAGUGGUGAGGAAGGAUGUAAGAUUAAUACUCUUGCAUAUUGACGUUAGCCACAGAAGAAGCACCGGCUAACUCCGUGCCAGCAGCCGCGGUAAUACGGAGGGUGCAAGCGUUAAUCGGAAUUACUGGGCGUAAAGCGCGCGUAGGCGGCGUGAUAAGCCGGUUGUGAAAGCCCCGGGCUCAACCUGGGAACGGCAUCCGGAACUGUCAGGCUAGAGUGCAGGAGAGGAAGGUAGAAUUCCCGGUGUAGCGGUGAAAUGCGUAGAGAUCGGGAGGAGUACCAGUGGCGAAGGCGGCCUUCUGGACUGACACUGACGCUGAGGUGCGAAAGCGUGGGUAGCAAACAGGAUUAGAUACCCUGGUAGUCCACGCCGUAAACGAUGUCGACUAGCCGUUGGGGUCCUUGUGACCUUUGUGGCGCAGUUAACGCGAUAAGUCGACCGCCUGGGGAGUACGGCCGCAAGGUUA